rnacentral:ncRNA from 1 species
CUCUUAUCGCGAGCUGGCUGAGGGACUGGCCCUAUGAUGCCCGGCAACCGGCGCUACUCUAUCUUUUUCUGAGAGCGAAACGGUGCUAAUUCCAACGGAUGAGAGUCGAGAUCUGGAAGCUUUUCCUAUUACUCGACUACUAACCCGAGAGAUGAGAG